CCCUUAGAUGUCCUGGGCCGCACGCGCGCUACACUGAUGCAUUCAACGAGUUCUACCUUGGCCGAGAGGCCUGGGCAAUCUUUUGAACCUGCAUCGUGAUAGGGAUAGAUUAUUGCAAUUAUUAAUCUUGAACGAGGAAUUCCUAGUAAACGCAGAUCAUCAAUCUGCAUUGAUUACGUCCCUGCCCUUUGUACACACCGCCCGUCGCACCUACCGAUUGGAUGGUCCGGUGAAGCCUCGGGAUUGUGGUUCUUGCCGCUUUAUUGUGGCGUGACCGCGAGAACUUGUCUAAACCUUAUCAUCUAGAGGAAGGUGAAGUCGUAACA
rnacentral:rRNA from 1 species